UACGUAGGGUGCAAGCGUUGUCCGGAAUUAUUGGGCGUAAAGAGCUCGUAGGCGGCCUGUCGCGUCGGAUGUGAAAAUCCAAGGCUCAACCUUGGACCUGCAUUCGAUACGGGCAGGCUAGAGUUCGGUAGGGGAGACUGGAAUUCCUGGUGUAGCGGUGAAAUGCGCAGAUAUCUGGAGGAACACCGGUGGCGAAGGCGGCAUCCUGGACCGACACUGACGCUGAGGAGCGAAAGCCAGGGGAGCAAACGGG
rnacentral:rRNA from 1 species